CACAAAGCGAGGCUGGAGCCCUUUCCGGCCUUCGCCUGCCCGCCCAGCCCCGGAAAUGGCGUCACCCUCAAGCCGGAGCCUCUGGCUUUCGUGAGGAUUCAACCAGUCGCAGAUACAUUCCGACCUCCUGUUAGGUGCCAGGCACUGGACUAAGCAAACAGGUUGAGAAUCAAUACUUACCCACAACACACCCCUCCUGGGGCCAGAUGAAGUCAUCCCCGUGCCUCCUCAUCGCUGUAAUUCCACAAUUCAUUCGUGUUCCCCGCCUUCUCUCGUGAGCGACCAAAUCACAGCUCUGACUCAGCAAGAGAGUUCUAGUCCGUGAUUCUCGAACACACAAGUUGACAGGUAUAUAACAACAUUGAAGAGGUGAAGAACAUUUUGCUGUGUGUAUUCACAAACUCAGGAGAGUGUUGUGCACUAAUCAAUAUCGUGAAGCAGGAGCAUGAAGCAGAAAGUAGCUUCCACAAGCAAUUCUUUGCAUUGUUGCAAAAAUCUUGGUCUCCUGUGCACCGAUGCCAAAUAAAAAUACAGAGACAGAGAUUUGUAAGAUAAGAAAUAG